rnacentral:rRNA from 1 species
GAUGAACGCUAGCUACAGGCUUAACACAUGCAAGUCGAGGGGAAACGACAUCGAAAGCUUGCUUUUGAUGGGCGUCGACCGGCGCACGGGUGAGUAACGCGUAUCCAACCUGCCCAUCACUUGGGAAUAACCUUGCGAAAGUAAGACUAAUACCCAAUGAUAUCCCACGAAGGCAUCGGAAUGGGAUUAAAGAUUUAUCGGUGAUGGAUGGGGCUGCGUCUGAUUAGCUUGUUGGCGGGGUAACGGCCCACCAAGGCAACGAUCAGUAGGGGUUCUGAGAGGAAGGUCCCCCACAUUGGAACUGAGACACGGUCCAAACUCCUACGGGAGGCAGCAGUGAGGAAUAUUGGUCAAUGGGCGAGAGCCUGAACCAGCCAAGUAGCGUGCAGGAAGACGGCCCUAUGGGUUGUAAACUGCUUUUAUAAGGGAAUAAAGUGGGUCACGUGUGACUUUUUGCAUGUACCUUAUGAAUAAGGACCGGCUAAUUCCGUG